AACCCCUCUGCCCGGACAUGUGGCUCCC
rnacentral:sRNA from 1 species